ensembl:lncRNA
GGACGGCUCAUAAUGUCAGGAGUGGAAGGGUUGUAAAACCACAGGAGGCUGUUGGGGAGGACGGCUCAUAAUGUCAGGAGUGGAAGGGUUGUAAAACAGAAGGGAACUAUGUGUUUGAUACCAGUCACUUCACCACAUUCCUCCCAUCACUAUGAGCCCUUCCUCCCCAAUUAAUAAGGUGCCCCCAGUCGCAUGUGGUGUGGUACAAAAUACUAUAUGUACCGUGUUAGUGGUGUUAUAUAAAUACUAUAUGUACCGUGGCUGUGUAAUUAGUGAAUCAUUUGGAUAUACUGUAUGUAGUAGAAAAUACUAAUAGUACCGUGUUAGUGGUGAUAUAUAAAUACUAUAUGUACAAAUAAUUAAAAAAAAUAAUUGUAAGGAUAAUUAUCAGCUUUGGCUAGAAGAGCCACACUAAUGUCGGGAUUCAAUCCCAUGGUGCUUUGUCAACAACGCACCAUUUAAACCUUUCCGAUUGAACCAACAUGCAGCGAGGAAUGUGGUCUCCCCGACAGGUGCGGACUUUGCCUAUGAAUGACGUUAAUGGCGUUGUUGACGAAGCGCAGUCAGAUUGAAUCGGGGACUAACAGUGAUCUGGUUUAGUACAGGUGGACUUUAAUUAAAGGGGCAAUGCAGGAUUCAAAAGAACAACAAAGUGUUCUCCGUUAUCAUCCAAUCCCAGAUCAGGAUUAUUUAUUUAUUAGUUAUCAUUCGCUAAGAAGUCAAAAAACAGAUGUGGUCCGACCAAUCCCAGAUCAGGAUUAUUUACAUACAUAGUUUGUGAGGCACUAAUAUGGAUUUACAUAUUCCAUUACCAGGCACUUUUUAUCCACAUCAACUUUCAGUCAGUCAGUCAUUUUUACAUAUGGGGAGGCCCCAGGAAUCAAACCCACAAUCCUGGUGUUGUAAAUGCUCUACCAACUGAACCACAGAGGACAGGCUCUACCAACUGAGUCCACAGAGGACAGGUUCUACCAACUGAGCGACAGAGGACAGGCUCUACCAACUGAGCCACAGAGGACAGGCUCUACCAACUGAGUUACAGAGGACAGGUUCUACCAACUGAGCCACAGAGGACAGGUUCUACCAACUGAGUCACAGAGGACAGGUUCUACCAACUGAGCGACAGAGGACAGGCUCUACCAACUGAACCACAGAGGACAGGUUCUACCAACUGAGUCACAGAUGACAGGUUCUACCAACUGAGUUACAGAGGACAGGUUCUACCAACUGAACCACAGAGGACAGGUUCUACCAACUGAGUCACAGAGGACAGGUUCUACCAACUGAGUUACAGAGGACAGGCUCUACCAACUGAACCACAGAGGACAGGCUCUACCAACUGAGCCACAGAGGACAGGUUCUACCAACUGAGUCACAGAGGACAGGUUCUACCAACUGAGUUACAGAGGACAGGUUCUACCAACUGAGUCCACAGAGGACAGGUUCUACCAUAGAACUACAUUUUUAGAUAUGCUAAUAUCUCCUCUCACUUUUUCUUUCCCUCCCUCCAACUGUCUCCCCCUCUUUUUCUCUCCCUCUCUCCCACACCUCUCUCGGUCUCUUUCUCUCCCACUAUCCUCCCCUUUCUCUCUCCCUCUCUCCCACACCUCUCUCAGUCUCUUUCUCUCCCACUAUCCCCCCCUCUCUCCCCUCUCCCUCUCUCCCACACCUCUCUCGGUCUCUUUC